rnacentral:rRNA from 1 species
AUUGACCGCUGGCGGCAAGCCUAACCCAUGCGAGUCGAGCGGAGCGGAGGACGGGUGAGUAAUGCCUAUGACUCUGCCUGGUUGUGGGGGAUAACGUCCGGAAACGGGCGCGAAUACCGCCUACUAUCAUCUGAGCCUAGUUCGGAUUCGCGAGUUGGGUGGGUAAAGGCCUACCAAGGCGAAGGUCCGUAACUGGUCUGAGAGGAUGAUCAGUCACACUGGAACUGAGACACGGUCCAGACUCCUACGGGAGGCAGCAGUGGGGAAUAUUGGACAAGGGGCGAAAGCUGGAUCCAGCCAUGCCGCGUGUGUGAAGAAGGUCUUCGGAUUGUAAAGCACUUUAAGUUUGGAGGCGUUACCAACAGAAUAAGCACCGGCUAACUUCGUGCCAGCAGCCGCGGUAAUAC